GGAUGCAUGAUCUUGGUUGAAUCCCAGACCAGAUUUCUUUUUCUGUCAAAGACAUUGGGUGAAAUUUAAGGUCUUCAGAUUAGAUUCAAUAUUUAUCCAAGUAAAUUUUCUGAUUUUGCCAAUCAUACUAUGUGAGAAUGACUUUGUUCUUAUAAAAUGCUCCCUAAAGUAUUUAGAUAUAAACGGGUGUUUGUUACUUAAUCUCAGGUGACUCAGAAGAAAAAUUACAUACGUAUUUAUGUAUGUGAUAUGUUGCUAGCGUAUAUGUCUAUGUCUCCCUUUGUCCAUGUAUCUCUCUGUCUCAGGAGAGAGGAUGAUAAAGCAAACAUGGCAAACCAUUAACAGCUGGGCUAUUUGGGAGAAGGGUAUGUGAAAGUACCUUUUACUGAUCUUGCAAGUUUUCUGUAAGUUUGAAAUUAUUUCAAAUAGAAAGUAAAGCCAUAGCAAGAGCUCUGUUUCGCCUCUAGAAGCAAGAAUAAGCAAAUGAGAGGACCACAACGUGGCAGACAAAAUCUCUCAUCCUCUUGUCGGGGUGGCUUUGCCCACCCUUUCUGAACUGCAACUUGGCAGUUCAUAUUGAGAAGCCUAAAAAUAUUUGUAACUUUUAACCUCAUUUCUCCUUAAAGAGAAUAUACGGGUGUGUAAAGAUUUAUGCACAACACCUUCUUGCGGUGUUGCUUUCAAAGGUAAAAAGUUGGAGACAGGAGUUCCCACUGUGGCACAGUGGGUUAAGGAUCCAGUGUUGCCACAGCUGUGGUGCAGCUUACAGCCGUGGCUCGGAUUGACCCCUGGCCCAGGAACUUCCAGAUGCUGUGAGCGUGGCCAAAAAGAAAAAAAAGUUGGAGACAAGCUAAAUAUUCACAGCAGGGCUGGUCUGAGCGCUGUGCAAUAGGAUGGCCCUAAAUGACGUCCAGGAGCAUUGUCGACAGCGCGACCAGAUGCUGCUUACCCCGCCGUGUCCCACAGCAUACCUGAAACACAGGACAGCAACGGAAUCUCCAUUAGAUCCAAAAUAUGCAUUACAAGCUCCGGAAGAAAACCUUAAGAGGCUGCCUCUCAGGUGUAGCCUUUUUUCCUUACUUUUAAGUAGUUUUCAGUAAUACUGCAUUUUGACCAUGUGCAAACAGAAAGCAGUAACAACAACAAAUAAAGCAGCAGCGAGAGUCUAAAGCUGUCUGGGCCACGCGAGGACAGUCCUCUCUCCAGCAGCCAUGACGCCGCAGCCCCCUGACUCACCCCAGCAAGGGUGAAGACAGAGGCUAGAGGCCGGGCCACUGACGUCAGGGUGACAGUGGAGGGUGAGCCUCCCUCGGCUGCCAGAGUUUGGGCCUGGGUCCCCCGGCAGCCCUGAUGAUGUCUGUCCCAUACUCGGGACUCCAUGCCUGCAAGGCUGCAGCCUGCCACCUGCCGGAAAUCAUUGGGGUUUAAAAACACCCAUCAAACAAGCAGCUGCAGUGUGUUGUGUUAGGAGCCAGUUCCUUCCUCUGGAAGACAGUCUCCAGAGGUGGUUUUCCUUAGGUCAGUUACUCCACAUUGAGCAAUGACCUGGAAUGCAGAACCAUGGGCACGUCCACAAGGGGCGGGGGGCAUUACCUGAUGGGCCCCCCAUGAGACAGAGAGAGCACCAUGCCCUCCCCCCACGGGCCCCCACCUUUCCCUGGGGAGCAGGCCUGCUGCUGUCUCGCCUCCCAGACCUUCUCUGUGUGCACGACAUCGGGAGUGGGGUCCUGGGUCAGAGACCGGCUCUGUCGUGGCCCCUGGGCCACCUCUCCCUCUGAGCGUUUAAACAGAAAGUGAUGACAUGGGCCAGCCACAUCCCAGGUCACCAUGAGGUCGCAUGAGGCAGAGCAGGUAAAGCCCGUGGUACAUUCAGAAUGAAGUUAAGCUGUCACAACUUUGGCCAAAAAAAGAAUACAUGACAGUGGUGUAGGUGUCUUUCUCGAAAGUACAGCUAGUGUAAAAUCAAGGCUGGUCCUAAGGCCAUUCAAGUUCAAAUGGUUCAUAAGCAGUGGGAAAAGCUAUGAGAUUUUUUAUACAGGGAGAAAACCCUAAGCAUCCUCUGUUUCUCUCUGACAAUUUGCCCAACUAUUUUAAGGCACAUUGGUUCUCAAGGGAGAAAGUACCAUGAAAGCUCCAAUGGGGAAGUUUCGUUUCCCUGCCCCUGCUGUGGAUAUACCCCAUGCUAAUUUAAAGAUCUAGAACGUUCUGAUAAAAACCACCAGAAUGUGUUAGGUAUAAUUAUUCCAAGUCUGCCCAUCUGCUUUCUGUCUCUGGUACCUGUCCACAUAGCCAGUUGAUUUCCAGAGGAUUCGCAGUGGCUUAUUUACAUUUAGGUUCAUGUAAAAGAGCACAGUUCUAGCCCCUGUUUGCUUUUUGCAUUACAGGUAGGGCAGUAGUGUUUUAAAGAGCCGUGUUUGUCUCUGUCCUAUUUUGGGGCCCAGGUACAGGUCCCUAUUUUUAGCAGCUCUGCGAUGUUGUGAAUCUGGAUCUCAACCACAGUGAGUCAGAGGGUCUGGCUGCCCAGAGAUGCAUGACUCAGAUGGGCAGGAAUAGUCUGUUCGACGGGAGAUGGGGCUUAAGGGGGAGGGGGGUUGGCUUGUGCUUAGUGAAAAACGGAAACGAAGCAUAAUGUUUAGGUAAAAAUCUGUUGCCCUUCUGCAGGGAGCUUUCCCCUCACCCCUGAAAGCAUUUGUCCCAUACCCGGAAGAGCCUUCUGGCCCCAUCAGCAUUAGAGUCAACAGAGUCCCACAGGCAGACCUGGAGGGGGGCUGGAGGAAGGGAUGGAGCAGGUGUUUGGGCAGGUGAGGGUCCUGGGGAGGGGAUUUUUCUAAGAGGAAAAAAUGUGAAGGAAAAGGUGGUCCCUCUGAAAGAGGGGAAGCAGCAGAUGGUCUCAUCUUGAUUGGACCAGAUUGUUUUUCACCAUCUGUCUGUCUGUCCGUCCCUCCAUCCUAUUAUGCGGACUUCCAGUAGACACAGUAGAACUUGAAAGCUGAUUGUGUCCUGGGCUCUUUGCCAGACUCAGGGGAGCAGCCCCUUACAGAAGGUGGGAGUGGGGGAAUAGUCCAGCCACAAGAUCCCAUCCAAGGCUUCAGUCUUACCAUCCCCAGCUGUCAGGAGCUUGGGCACUGGGCUGGCGUCUGUCCAGGCCCUGCUCACGUGGGUAGAAGGGACCCCGUGUACCUCACGGGAUAAGCAAACCCAGAGGAAGCCAGUGCCCUUGGUUUGAGGGCUUCCUUCUCUUUUCCCUCAACUCAGACCUCUGGCGCUAAGUACCUCUGGGCGUGGCCAAGGGGCCCAGUGAUCAGAGGUGGCCCCCCUCCAGCCUCUCCUGGGAGCGGGGACGGUCAUGUUUUCAGCCGCUGUUUAGAUUUUCCAGUGUUCCAUGAAAGCUCCUGAAUCUCUUCCCCAAAUAACAAAGUCCUGUUUGGUAUUUGGUGAGCUGUUUGCAGCACGGUGUUCAACUGAGCAGAACUAAGCUGCUGACAAAAUACUGUCUCAGCCGUUUAAUCAUAAUGGCCAACAUUUGUCUAGGGCUGUGUGGUUUAGCCCCCAGUGCCAUCCAUCCGGGGGCGUUGCACCCACGGAAGAUGCCGGUGAGGUGGGAUGCCAGCCUCCUGGUCCCUCUGAAAGCCUCAGCCACCCUCCUCUAACCCCGGUCUGGUCUCAGCCCCCCACGGCCCACAGCCUGCCCCCCACUCUCCACCCUGGGCCCUUUUCCUACUUUGGCCCCUGGAAGGGCUCUCGCAGGAUCAAGUCCAGCUCUCAGUACUGGAUCCCCUCUGCACAGCUUGGUCCUUCCGCUGUCCCUCCCCGCUCACCAGCAACAACUGUGUUCUCUGUGGACGGGCUGACCUUCCCCGGGUGCUGGACCAGGCCGCGGCCAGCCAUAGGUCCCAGGCCCGGCUGUGUGUCAGGUGGGAGGGCUGUAACUCUGGUUUUUUCUGUAAUACCCUCUCUGGUGUCUGGCAAGGGGCUAUUUAACUAGAAGUACCCCUUCUGAACCAGUAAGUCAGAGAAUCUGAAUGAAGUGGGCAUCUCUGUGGGCGUAGUGGCAUCACCAUGGAGUCAAGAGCAGAUGAGGCUGCAGGGUGGGCUCCUUUUGGGCAAGAGGCUGCCUAAACUAGGUGCCAAGGGAGAGAGGCGACGUCUAGUCAAGGCACACUGGUCAGGACCUGGUGCGUUGCUCAGGUGUGCUGGAGCCCAAAGUGCCUGCAAACCAAAGACGUGCCCCCUAAACCAAAGAUGCCCACCCCCUAACCAGAGACACCUCCUUCUCCUGAACAAGACAACCCCACCCCCAAAACCAGAGACACCAGACCCCCCCAAACCAGAGACACCCCCACCCCCACCAGAGAUGCUCACUCCCCACCCCACAGUGACCACAAAAGGGUGAUCCCAACUGGUCUGUGGGUCCCCAGAGGCUGGGUGAGGCCUGAGGGGUGGGGAGGAGAGUUUGAAGGGACUUUGGAGCAGAGUGACCAGGAGAGUGGGGCCCAGUGAGCCCUGUGGUGUUAGGAGCAGGGGACCGUGGACACCGAGGGGGGCCCUGGAAGUGGGGUAGGAGUGGCUGAGGCCGAAGAGGUCAGGACUCCCCUCCUCCUCCAUACGCCUCCCCCUCCCCAGCACACCCCACAGAGAGCGGCAGUGUGACCACUGUGAGCUGGCUUCACUCCUCUCACUGUGAGCUACAGUGUUGUUUUACCGGAAAACUACUUUCGCUCUGUUUUCCAGAUUUCAGUCAGCUUUGUUUUAAUUUAAGAAAAAAAUUUUAAAGUAUAAUUACAUAAGUAAUAUGCAAUCAUUAUGGAACAAUUAAAAGACAUUUAAAAAGUAGGGGGAGAAAUCCCUUCAGAAUCGUAGACCUCAGGGACACUGGGGUCUUUUUGUGUAUAUCCUUCCAGCCUUAACCACACAAAUGCAGAAAAGUUUUAAAAUGUUUAAAAAAGAACCUGCUACAUAGUGCUGUGUACCCUGAUUUUUCUUUACUUACAGACUAUGGCUGUGCUUCUCUGGUAUGUAUGAAUCUACAGCGUCAUUUCAGUAUGUACCUAGUAUUGAACUACACGAAGGUGCCAUAAUGUGUUGAAUCAGUUCCUUGUGUGAUCAGUGAGGCUGUCUUCACUCAUCACCUGUGUUCUUCUCUGUUCACCUUUACGAUAUGCACAAUGAUACGAAGCACAGACAAUUGAUAGCCUUAAUCCACGUGCAUCUCUUUUUGCAUGUGCCUUUUCCUGACAGUAAAUUCCACGCGUGGGAUUCCCAGGUCACAGUUACGCCUCGCGCUCUGUGUUGGCGAGGAACACAAAUGUUGGUCCAAAUCUAGAUUCUCAACAGCAGACGUAGGAGUUCCUGGUUCCUCAGACCCAUGCCACGUGGCCAGGCAUUAUCUUUACUAAUCUGGAAGGAAAUAGCAAACAUGACGCAGCACUGGAAAAUGUCUUCUGAACCGACCUUCAUUCUUUUAAAACACAACCCAAGAACCACCUGUAGAACCUCUAAUAAAACAUGGCCAGACCCCGGGGAUGGGUUGGGGGAGCUUAUUUCCACCCAAUGUUAAGCAAGAUUCUGGUGUGACAAAGGAGUAUGGACAGUUCCUAGAAAUGUACUGAGAUGAGGUAGAUUUGCUCCAUAGCUGAAAUUUCCUUGGGAAAGGAGGUCAUAUUAAACAUUUAUCAGUUUAAUUUCUGCCCCAGGGCCUUUGUUUCCCAACCUGCUGUGACUUUGGAUGACUGGCCAAUGUAGACCUCCUGGGAGCCCUGGGCCCCAUCAAGGGCCCCACGAGCCUGGCUGUGUGCCCAGAAUCUGGGCCUGGAUGGGCCCUCCCGCCCUCGCCCUCACCCGUAGGACUUGGGGCCUAGGCACCGGUCAGCAGCCCCAGGUUCCUCAAUGUGGGGCUUGAGGAAGGGUUCUGUACCGUGACUAUGCGUCUGCCUCCCAGAAUUGCCAUGCACUUUCAGGAACGUGUGACCAGCUUGACACACCAUCAUCGUUUCUCUUCUGCCCUUUGCUUUAUCAUCUGUUCAAAUGAGGGAUUCAAUUAUCUGAUCUUUAAAAACCCUUUUAGAUCCGGUUUCCUUAGGAUUUCAAGUUAGCACGAGUGAGGUCCUGCCUCUUUAAGCACAGAUUUCCGGCAGCUGUGGUUCAGCUCAGAAAGAGGUGCUUUUGCUGGCUUUGAUUUUGCAUGGCCACAUGCAUCUUAAUCCACUGCAUCCUCCUGCUUGUCCAGCCCACCGUGCCCCACCCGCGUCCUCCUGUCCACGUGCUGCUUUGGCAGAUGUUUGCGGUUGUCUCCUUUCCUCCAUGGUUUUUGGCAUCCAGGUUAGAAGAUGAAUUUCCUCUCCUUUGGCACCCCCCACCUCCUCCUGUGAGCACCUGUGGAGUAGACCCUGUUCAGGCUCAACUACAUUGUUGAUGAUUGACAGGGAGUUGGACCUGCAGGGAAUUUAUUUCGGCGGGUCAGCCUCGCUGGUCCUAGCUGUGACAUCCUGGUCACUGCUGCUUGAUAUUGGCCUAUUUUCAGCCCAUGUGCACAGCCCAAGGCCCCCAUUCAGCCUGUGUCUGUAUGUACCUCUCACAGGAACCAACCACUAGCUGCUCUGACUUUUCUGCACCUGUCCUGAUGGGUCAGAACGUGACAAAGGCCAAGCCACUUUUUGGGAAAACAACACAGAACAGGUUAUUGUCAUAAUAUUAGAGGAGGGGACUCAGUAACCAUGAACCACCCGGAUGUUAUCUUUAGAAAUGUCUUCCGGAGUUCCCAUCGUGGCGUAGGGGAAACAACUCCGACCAGGAGCCAUGAGGUUGUGGGUUCGAUCCCUGGCCUCGCUCAGUGGGUUAAGGAUCCGGUGUUGCUGUGAGCUGUGGUGUAGGUCACAGACGCGGCUUGGAUCCUGCAUUGCUGUGGCUCUGGCGUAGGCCGUCGGCUAUAGUUCUGAUUCGAUCCCUAGCCUGGGAACCUCCAUAUGCAGCCAUACAAAGACAAAAAAAAAAAAAAAAAAAAAAAAAAAGAAAUGUCUUCCCCAUAGUUGAUCCAGCAGCUGAAUCUGGCAUGAUCACUGAGUUGUGAUCCCAACUUUCAUGCUUGUCGCACUUGCCGUGAUGAAAAAAACCCUCCGAGUCUCCACGUCAUUCACAUACCUGCCUGGUUGUCCUCCUGCCCUGUGCUGUUGCCUGUCGUAUAUGGGAGUUAAUCCAGUAUCCUAGUCCUUUUUGUCUCCAGCACUUUGUAAUUCACCCUGGGAAUUCAUCCACCGCUUCCUCAUUCGUUCCAUAAAUAUUUACUAGAGGGAUAACAGCUAGUUUCUUUGCGUAAAGAGCGUCCUCUGAGCUCGUGGGUGUGGAUGUGGCUGCACGUGCCUGGCACACAGUAGGUACUCAGUUCCGGUGGGGCGGGUCACAUUCUGAAGCCUUAGAGCCUGGGCAGACUUGCCUGGAUGAAGUUCUUGGCUGCCUUCUUAAGGCAAAUACAUAGAAUAGAACUAAAUCUUCUCCUGCUACCUUGGGGCCAUUCUUUCGAGCACCAGUGCCUAUGCAAUGAGGUCACCUCUGCUCUGCAGGGCCACACCGGGUUCUGGGCAUGAAAUAAGUUCGGAAGCUGUCUCGUGGCCCUUGUGUGUGGUUUUUAGAGUUUGUGUCCUUCCUCGCAGUGAACCCGAGGGAUGCUGAUUUUCCUUUUCUGUCAACUGCCUCUUUGUGAGAAGCCUUCCCUUUGCUUAGCAUUUUUCACAUGUACUAUUUCAUUUAUUCCUCACAUCGGCUCUGCAGGUUAGAUGGGAUCAUAUCAAUUUGUUGAUUAAAAGAGAGAAAGAAAAACCUGACAGCUUUUAAGAGUUAAGUCGGAGAUCCCAUGGAUAGAGAAGGGGAUAGAGAGGGUUCUGGCUCCCAGCCUGGGUCCUCCCUGUGCCAGCCUCCCUCACCUGCUCCCUGGGGCUGGUGACUGCCGCAGGCCCUGUGGAGAUGGGCUGUAAAGUGGUGGAUCAGCAAGGAGGAUGGUGGCAGCUAGGGUUGCCAGGUUUAGCAAAAAAACAAAGCAAAUAAAAACCAAAAUGAUGAUGUUCACUUCAAUUAGAAUUUCAGAUAAAAAUUAAUUUUUUCUUCAUAUGCAUAAUUUCCCGUGUACUAUCUGGGACAGGCUUAUCAGAAGAGAAUUACUUUUUGCCUGAGAUUCAGAUCUAGCUUGUGUCUUGUGCUUGACCUGCAGCCUAAGAGCAGAGCUUGGGCUGCGGGAGGGUCUGGGACCGGCAGUGAUGGAAGGGCCUGCGUGGGAGCGUGGCCGGAAUGGAAGGGAAAUCCGCAGUGUCCUAUAAGGAGGGAGCUGGAGCGCUGCUCGAGCCGGAACAGGACGAGGCUCAAAGCAAACAAGGAUCAGCCACUCUGACUUACUCAAGAUGACAGUGAUUUGUCCCUGAGUCGGGGGUCACCCUGGUCCCUGCGGUGGGAACGCAGAGGACGGGUGCCCUCCCACAUCGUCCCC
rnacentral:lncRNA from 1 species